CAUCUUUCAUUCUGAUUAUGGAACAUAAUCACUGCUCUGCGUGUAAUGGGACUGAAUAUAAAGUAUAUGAAAGAUGUUGUCCUGCCUGUGAUCCUGGAUUUUGUGUUCAACUACAUUGUACAGCAGCUUACACAACAAAGUGUGUUCCAUGUCCUGAAUCUACAUUCACUAAUAAACCACAUGGACGCCGAAUUUGCAACCCCUGUACAACCUGUGAUGAACAUCUUGGUGUGAAGACAGUAAAGGAGUGUACAGCCUCUUCAGACACAGUGUGUGGAGUCCUGGAAGGGAACUAUUGUACUGAUCCCUAUGAGGGAGGAUGUAGAGCAGCACAGAAACACACAACCUGUAAACCUGGAGAUUUCAUCAGACACCCUGGAACAGAUUCUACUGACACUGUGUGUGAAAUCUGCCCUGAAAACUCGUUCUCAGAUGGAUCUUCUACCUCCUGUACACCACA